ensembl:lncRNA
UUCUUUGAAAACUCAUCUGUUUUCCUUCUUUUUUUCAGGGACUUUGAGGCCAGUGUGGAUGGAGCUCAUUGUUUGAGGGUGCUGUGUUCGCACCCCUGCUGCUGGGACACCGAGCACCGUUGCACCAGAGGAAUCAAACACCACACUCCCGUACGCGUGAGGAAACACUCUCUCAAAAAUGAGGACUUUCCAUCUCUGAGUAUUGUCAAUGUCUCUGAAUGGGCUGGACGGGGGAGACCGGUUAAAGGAAGGCCACUGGAUGGUGCAGACACAGACACAGAGGCGUCGUUGAAUGAUGUUUCUCUCAGCAAACAGACACAAGACACUCAGAAGAUUAAGAGGGCAAAUCUUUCCUUCCCAGACAUCAUGUUGCCCAGCGAUAAACCAAACAAUCUGCUCAAGUUAAAUACAGUUGACAUCAGUCCUUUGAUGGGCCGCUCUGAGUUGCCACAGUGUCCUGUGGUUAUGUGGAUUCCCAACCCGCACCAUGAGCCUCAGUGGCUCCGCCAAAACAAGCCAACCAGAGGAAGAAGUGUAACAGUCAUAAAAGGAGAGGGAAGACAGGAAUUAACUCUACACAAGAGGGCGCUGGCAGCCCACGGUGGGUGGGCAUUGGCUUUAAUCCCAUUCCCAAAACCACCCCACAUCACCUCUGCCACAGCCUAGUAUUCAAAGAUAGUGGGUGGGGAUCAUUGGAUCAAAAACUGCCAAGCCUAACCACACCACACCCAAACCCAAAGAGCAGUAGUGUCAGUCCAGCCUGGAGCCUGAGUUUAGGAUCAAUGCAGUGCUGGAGAGGCCACUGAAACACACCUAAACAGAUCUCAUACUUACGCCACAUUAAGAAGACAAAGGGUUUUAAUCGUAAAUGGAAAAUCUGUUCCAUAAGUAGUUAGUCUUGUCCAGUGAUUCAGUGCACUUUGUCUUGAAAGUCUAUUCCUGUUUUAAACAUAGACAACAAAUAAAUAAAAUGUAGCCUGCA